CAGGAUUCACAGCAACGCAGACAACGUAAGUACCAGCCGUUCCCUGAAACCCUUUUGCAGAUUUUUUUUUUUAAAAAAACAACCACCUAAAACAUAGAGACAAGCCUCUUUCCCCUUCUUCUCCCCUUCAUUAUGCCACCAGGGUUUCCUCAGUAGCCCUUCCAAAUCCCUCUGCCUUCAAGUUUGUGCAUGUCUGUGUGGCAUCCCUCCUCCUCCUUCACUCCCAUAGUGGAUCUUGUAAAAGGGCUUCAGAUCGGCCCCAUUCAUCUCCCUGGUGAUAGCAGUGAAUGUAGAUAAAUCUCUGGCUGCCUGCUUGCUGCUGGAGUAUGAUUUUUAUUUUGUCUUCUGUGUAUACCUGGGUCAAAAAGUGGGAUGUAUGCACACACAUACAUGCACACACACACCAUUCCUUCUCUCUCCUCUGCCUUCCUCACCUUUUUCUCACACAUGCAUACAUCCCCCAUAGUAUGUAUAUGCAUAAACAUACACACCUAUGUACAUAUCCAUACCUAUAACACAAAAAUAUAUACAUAUCUAAGCGUUUAAUUCAUCUGCAAAUAUGUGUAUUUAUAUACACAUACAGCUUACACUUGUGUCUAUAUGCAAUUGAUAAGUGCCUAUCUUUUCAUUUAUACCCAUCUAUAUCUCCAUUUAAACAACCCCUCUCUUCUCCCAGCAGAGGCUGUGUGCAAUUGCAAUCCAAGAUGUUAAAAGUGGUAUUCUUUCCUUAUGAUUUCUAUUUGUAGACCUUUAUGCUCCCUUCUCUGCAUCUUCAGAGCUGUAAGAUUGGCUUCUUUCCCUGAGGUUUUCCGAAUGGCAAGUGGCACCGGCUGUGGCAUGCAUUCAUGCCGCUUCCUAUGGCAUUUCUCUUCCGAUGUCUGCUUUUUCUCUUUGUUUGUUGUUGACUAGGCUGAAUCGUAUUGUUGUUAUUUUUAAGUUAAUUAUAAACGAAGUUGAAUAGCAAACAAACCAACAGCUUGCCCCCCCCCCAAAAAAAAAAAUAUAUAGCCCCACACAAGCGCCUUCUGCUGCAACAGAUGCCCAGAUCACCCCUGGCAUGGCAAACGGGCAAACGAUUUUGGUGGUUGUUAUUUUUUUCUGUUUGUUGCUGUAUUUGCUGUUUGUUUUCCUUGUUUCUUUUUGAUUUUUCAAGGAGUCCAGGAUCCCGGCCUCUGCUUGGAACGAAACAGUGUCAUGGCGGAGACGACGGCCUUUGUCUUGCUGGGUGUGAAAACAUCCGCUGUGCUGGCUCCACUGCAGCAGAAUCAAGUUUAAAGGAAAAAAAGUGAUUAAAGUCAGCUUUGUGCCUCUUUGGUGUGGAAGACCCCCAAACCCCAAGUAGCCGACUCCCAAGGUCCGAGGAAGGGCUCAUGGUUGGAGCACCUAGGCUGUAAUCCUGGCACUUGCACCUUCGGUUGCUGCUUGCUGUUCGCUCCUGGGGGUCUGGAUUAUCUCCCUUGGCUUUUCCGCACUGUCUGGCCCGCAUACAGGGCCCGGAAACAUAUACCCGCUGCUGCUAUCACACGAAACUGUGGCGUUGCCCCUGAAUGGAUGGCACCGUGCCAACUCUUCUGCCAUCCGCCCUUGCAGCUUUUUUCUUUCCUCCCUCCCUCCCCUUCUUCUCCUCCUCCCGUCGACUUGACGUUAAUUAACACACGGGUUAAUUGAUUUUAAAAGCCGAAGAAUUACAGUUAACUUUUCCCACAGGGUACAGACGCCAGCCGCUUGGCACACUCUGCCUUUCGCACUGGUGCAGGGGGGCAGGGAAAGCCCGCAGCAGAACUAGCAACUGCGAGGGAACGUUGCCUGCUUAUUGGAGUACAGCGGUAGAAGUCGACGUGGCACUGCCUCAUCCUUCACAAUAUAUGUAGCCAUUAUAUAUUUUGUUAAAUUAUCGAAACACAACCCUGGCUUUCUCCUUCUCCCUUGGUCUUUCAAAUUACGAAAGCCCUUCAUAAGUUCACCUGGGGGUGGGGGGAAUCACUCUCUAAGACCAUUUAUCUCAUCCGUAUUGUGCUUUUUCCAGCAAUAAGAAAAUAAUUAGUGCCUUUAAGUAUUUUUAUCUUUGUUUUAAUUUUAAAACAGGAAGACUACACCUUCCCCAAAUAUCACAGGCAUAGGAGUUUGUUUGCCUUUUAAAGAAAAAGUUCCAUCAAGUUUUUCUCUGUAUCUCAAUGUUUUGAUUUGUCCCUUUUACUCUUGGCCCAAAUGGGUCAUUUUAUGGCGAAGGAUAUCAGUGAUAAACUAAGUAGGUUGGAAUUAAGAACAAAAUUCUUACCGAAGCUCUUUGUGUUUUGUUUGUGUGUAUGUAUAUGUGUGUAUUUGCUUUCUGGCCCCUUCCUCCCAAUAAAAUGAAAGCAGUUGACAUUGUAGUUGGAGAGGAGACAGGCAAGGCUGGGAACUUGAUGCUUUCACCUUUUCAUGCUUUCAUUUUAUUUCAUUUUGUUUUUUAAAAGCACGCAGCAAGUGAAGCGACAAGAGGAAUCCAUUAUGCAAAUCAUGUCACUUUGCAUAACGUCUCAUGACUGGAAUAUGCAAAUGAGCUGUAUAAUUUAUGAGUGCCAGUGUCUGUCUAAAAGUGUUUCACAUAAUUUACAAAGUAAGCCUGAGAGACAUGAGGAAGGCACUUCCUACAACUCCACUGCCAGCAAAACCCUUAUAUUUUCCAAAUGCCCCAUUAUAAUAUGGUCAAGUGCUUUUUAAAAGAAACGAAGGUUCCAAACGUUCUUAAGAGACAAAGAUUUUUCCUCUCCUGUUGUUUUUUUGACCUAAAAGUUUGUAAGAAACUUGGACUCUGAAACUUUAAUUUUUAGAUUCAUUUUGGGAAUGUUAUUAAUGACACAUGUGCUAUUUGUAAUGGGUUUUCUUUUCUAAAUCCAGGAAAUCUUAAAGAAACAGACACCUUAUCCAUGUGUCUGGAUCCAUGAAGGUGGAAGAAUGGGACUUCUCAUUUGGUUGGGUUUUUUGCCCUGUUCUGUGCAACAUUUUAUAAAUUAUAGUCUUGUACAUGUUAGAUAUUGAUAUGAAAAGUGCAUAUCAACAAGUGGUCUUAUUUUGAAGAUAUAAUUCUGCUUUCAGAAUUGUCUUCAGAAGAGAAAUGCUCUUCAGUAAAAAUUAGGUUUUAGAUGAGUCACUUCAGUUGACAACUCCAAUCUCACUUUUAUAACUUUGUUGAGUAGAUAAUAAAAACUUUUGAGAAGUCAUAACAUCUUUGAUAAUCGGACCUUUUAUUUUUCAUUGUCAUUAUAAAAUCUAUGAAAAGCAGGUAUACACUGUCAUGAAAAUUUGUAUCAGGAGGACCUGACCCUCAGAGGGCUUGUCAGAAAGACUCUUAAAGAAUAUACAUUCAAACUCAACUCUGAAAGUUAACGAUAAGACAAAAAGAGAGAGAAAAUAUUUCUACAUUUCAGUAAAUCCUUAUACAGGUAAAGAACAUGACUGCUUUGUAGAACCAAAAUAAGACGCGUGCAGAGUAUAGAGAAUGGGUUAUUGGAUCAUACAUAUUAGGAACAAAUUGGAAUGUACCAUGUGAAUAGGUAAUUUAUUCAUUAUGUAUGUGCAUUUGCUGGUGCCUGAUCUUUUUUUUAUGUUUUUUUAGUUGUAGAUGGACACAGUACCUUUAUUUUAUUUGCUUAUUUUCAUGUGGUGCUGAGGAUCGAACCCAGUGCCUCAUACUUGUGAGGCAAGCACUCUGCCUUGGUCAUUUUCUGAAUAUACAUGUUGUAGAAUCACAUUGGUCAAUAGUAGCCUAUAAAAAAUAACAAAUUUUAAAAUAUUCAAGUCAGACAAAAUAUAUUCUGUGAGACACAAAUAAAUUGAACUAGAAAUUAAUAAGAGAGCAAUAUCUGGAAAAUCUUAACGUUUGGAAAUUAAACUUAUUUCUAAAAGACAUGGUUUUAAAAGACAGGGGAAUUAGAAAAUGUUUUUAAUGGAAUGAAAAUGAAAACACGUUACAUAAUUUC
rnacentral:lncRNA from 1 species